CUGGCCAUCUUUUUGAAGAGAUGCUGCAUUUACAGAAACUGAGCUUUGGAGAGAUGACCUGACGUGCUCAAUAUUGUAAAACUAGUAACAGACGGAGCUGGAGUUCAAAAACAGGGCGACCAUAGAAAUCAUUUGCUCUUCCCCCAGAUCACAAUACUUCACAAAAAGAAGUUGGAAAGGUACUUAUAGAGGCAGACGUUAGGUGAAAACUGGCACUUGGUGUGUGGUAAGACUGGAUUUGUCAAGGAAUCCUAUCUAGUUCUUUGGGGGUUGCUAGGAAGUCAGGGAGAAGAGACAGAUCAAAUCUCUCCCCUCCAGAUGCCACUUAAUGUGGAAAGCUGACUGAAGACUGCUCAGGUUGAAGGAGUCUGAGUGGCUUCGUCCCAGCUUCGUGCGGUCCUGGAGGCCUUCCUGCGGUUGAUCAGGGCUCCAUCCUUAGACCAACUGCAUCAGCAUCGUCUGCAGGCUCAGAAGUGUAGAGUCCAGAUCUCAUCCCAGACCAGCUGAACCAGACUCUCUGGGGGUGUUGUCCAGAAAUCUGUGUUUUCACAAGCCCUCCAGACAAUCCUUAGGCACGUUAAGGUCUGAGUGCCACUGCCCUCGACUCUGCCCCAUAUUGUGUCUGACUAAAGGGAGCCUCAUUCCCAAUGUCUGAAAUCUUAACCUUUAGAAGACUCUUCUUGUCCUCUGUUCCAAGACUGCCACAUCAGUAUAUACCUUCUUUUCCAGAAGACUUUGUUUUUGUUUGUACUUAACAUUGAUGAUCUUCUCUUAACUGACUUUCUAAAAUGCAUUUAUUUGACUCUCUUAGUCUUUUUAUCUCCAAUGUGAAGUUUCUAACUAUGUGUUGAAAUUUAACCAGUUCCCAGGUUUCUGAAAGAUAUUUUUACCUUUCCAAAAUACAGGUGGAAAGAGAAAGGAGAAUGAUUCUGAAAUAAAAAAGAAUUACAUAAAAUAAAUGAGAAAGGACAGCAUUUUGAAAUGUAUGUUAGAUAUUGAUAUUGAUUUGUUCUGGGAGAGUCUCUGCAGUUCUUACACAGGACACGAAUGGAUGGCCUGUAUGAGGCCACCAGGACCGCAAGCCCACUCUGGCUGCCUUCCUGUAAAUACGAGACAGCGGAUCAACUCAGGUGAAGCCAGAUGGGAGAGCUGGGCUACAAGGGGGGCAGCCCCCGCAGCUGAGCGUGCUCAGU
rnacentral:lncRNA from 1 species